rnacentral:rRNA from 1 species
CAAUAGCGUAUAUUAAAGUUGUUGCAGUUAAAAGCUCGUAGUCGGAUUUCGGGUCGGGCCGAGCGGUCUGCCGAUAGGUAUGCACUGUUUGGCGCGGCCUUCUUUCCGGAGACCGCGGCUACUCUUAACUGAGCGGGCGUGGGAGACGGAUCGUUUACUUUGAAAAAUUAGAGUGUUCAAAGCAGGCGAUCGCUUGAAUACAUUAGCAUGGAAUAAUAGAAUAGGACUUUGGUUCUAUUUUGUUGGUUUCUAGGACCGAAGUAAUGAUUAAUAGGGACAGUUGGGGCGAUUAGUAUUUAAUUGUCAGAGGUGAAAUUCUUGGAUUUAUGAAAGACUAACUACUGCGAAAGCAUUUGCCAAGGAUGUUUUCAUUAAUCAAGAACGAAAGUUAGGGGAUCGAAGACGAUUAGAU